AACACAACCAGAACACCGAUACUAUUUCUACCAGUCAUUUAUUUAAAGAUAAUAAUUACAGAAAAAAAAUAACUUCAACCAUCAAAUAAGUACAUGACAAAGAAAGGUCAAACCAAUAAUAAAUAAAACUCAAGAGUUUUUAUAUGCUUAUUAUUCAACACUUUUUAAGUUAUUCAACUUUAACUAAAUACUGAAUAAUUACAGGCCAAACGAAACUGAUGUUCGUUACCAGUUUAAAUUUUAGGAAGUCAACAAUCAACGUGGGGCCAGCUACCUCAAGAAGUAUCCGCACAAAAAUGUGGUGCGAUAUAUAUUCAACUCAUGUCAUAAAGCCAUAAAGUACUGUUGUUAACAUGUCUUAAAUUUCAUGUUUGGGAUGAAAAAAAGUAAACUUGCCCUCUCUUCCUCAUCAUUUUUCAGCAUCUCUUGACCAGAACGAAUAAAAUUCGAGUCGCCACCCGCAAACAUUUUUCCAAUCGCAUACAGAAGAGACGCAAGCGCGUGAUCUUCACCGUUGGAUAGGUUUCGAAACUCCGAACUUUUUUUAUGUGCGAUUGCAACCAUAAAUAUUAAUGUAAACGGUGGUAGCCAUGCACUACCCAGGCGAGAAGAUAAGUAAGCAGUACCAGUGCCCCAAAUCUUUCUUCUUCCCAACGCAUCAGAAAUUUAUCAUAUUUAUUUUGUUACUACUAAUGUUGAUAUAAAAUAAAUUAAACUUAUGUUCUGUUUUA